rnacentral:rRNA from 1 species
ACGAGGGGCUAAAACCGGAAUAAUUUUAGAUGUUGGCAUCAACGUUUAAGGAAAGGUGGCCUCUGAAAAUGCUCCCGAUUAUGGAUGGACCCGCGUCUGAUUAGAUAGUUGGUGGGGUAAAGGCCUACCAAGGCGACGAUCAGUAGCCGGCUUGAGAGGGUGAACGGCCACACUGGGAUUGAGACACGGCCCAGACUCUUACGGGAGGCAGCAGUGGGGAAUCUUCCGCAAUGGACGAAAGUCUGACGGAGCAACGCCGCGUGUAUGAUGAAGGUCUUCGGAUUGUAAAGUACUUGUCUUUGGGGAAGAAUGAUCGGAUUGAAAAUAUUGAUUCGAUAUGACGGUACCCAAGGAGGAAGCCCCGGCUAACUACGUGCCAGCAGCCGCGGUAAUACGUAGGGGGCAAGCGUUGUCCGGAAUUAUUGGGCGUAAAGGGCGCGUAGGCGGGUAUUUAAGUCUGGUGUGAAAGAUCAGGGCUCAACCCUGAGAGUGCAUCGGAAACUGGGUAUGCUUGAGGACAGGAGAGGAAAGUGGAAUUCCACGUGUAGCGGUGAAAUGCGUAGAUAUGUGGAGGAACACCAGUGGCGAAGGCGACUUUCUGGACUGUAACUGACGCUGAGGCGCGAAAGCGUGGGGAGCAAACAGGAUUAGAUACCUUGGUAGUCCACGCCGUAAACGAUGAGUGCUAGGUGUAGAGGGUAUCGACCCCUUCUGUGCCGCAGUUAACACAAUAAGCACUCCGCCUGGGGAGUACGGCCGCAAGGUUGAAACUCAAAGGAAUUGACGGGGGCCCGCACAAGCGGUGGAGCAUGUGGUUUAAUUCGACGCAACGCGAAGAACCUUACCAAGGCUUGACAUCCUACGAAUCUCUUGGAAACAAGGGAGUGCCCUUCGGGGAGCGUAGAGACAGGUGGUGCAUGGUUGUCGUCAGCUCGUGUCGUGAGAUGUUGGGUUAAGUCCCGCAACGAGCGCAACCCCUGUGUUUAGUUGCUAACGCGUAAUGGCGAGCACUCUAGACAGACUGCCGGUGAUAAACCGGAGGAAGGUGGGGAUGACGUCAAAUCAUCAUGCCCCUUAUGUCUUGGGCUACACACGUGCUACAAUGGCCGGUACAGACGGACGCGAAGCCGCGAGGUGGAGCAAAUCCGAGAAAGCCGGUCUCAGUUCGGAUUGCAGGCUGCAACUCGCUUGCAUAAGUGGAAUCGCUAGUAUCGCAGGUCAGCAACUGCGGUAAAAG